rnacentral:rRNA from 1 species
GACGAACGCGGGCGGCGUGCCUAAUACAUGCAAGUAGAACGCUGAAGAGAGGAGCUUGCUCUUCUGGAUGAGUUGCGAACGGGUGAGUAACGCGUAGGUAACCUGCCUUGUAGCGGGGGAUAACUAUUGGAAACGAUAGCUAAUACCGCAUAACAAUGGAUGACCCAUGUCAUUUAUUUGAAAGGGGCAAAUGCUCCACUACAAGAUGGACCUGCGUUGUAUUAGCUAGUAGGUGAGGUAACGGCUCACCUAGGCGACGAUACAUAGCCGACCUGAGAGGGUGAUCGGCCACACUGGGACUGAGACACGGCCCAGACUCCUACGGGAGGCAGCAGUAGGGAAUCUUCGGCAAUGGGGGCAACCCUGACCGAGCAACGCCGCGUGAGUGAAGAAGGUUUUCGGAUCGUAAAGCUCUGUUGUAAGUCAAGAACGAGUGUGAGAGUGGAAAGUUCACACUGUGACGGUAGCUUACCAGAAAGGGACGGCUAACUACGUGCCAGCAGCCGCGGUAAUACGUAGGUCCCGAGCGUUGUCCGGAUUUAUUGGGCGUAAAGCGAGCGCAGGCGGUUUGAUAAGUCUGAAGUUAAAGGCUGUGGCUCAACCAUAGUUCGCUUUGGAAACUGUCAAACUUGAGUGCAGAAGGGGAGAGUGGAAUUCCAUGUGUAGCGGUGAAAUGCGUAGAUAUAUGGAGGAACACCGGUGGCGAAAGCGGCUCUCUGGUCUGUAACUGACGCUGAGGCUCGAAAGCGUGGGGAGCGAACAGG